rnacentral:rRNA from 13 species
UUGAGAGUUUGAUCCUGGCUCAGAACGAACGCUGGCGGCAGGCCUAACACAUGCAAGUCGAGCGCACCCUUCGGGGCGAGCGGCGGACGGGUUAGUAACGCGUGGGAAUGUACCCUUCUCUACGGAAUAGCCAUUGGAAACGAUGAGUAAUACCGUAUACGCCCUUCGGGGGAAAGAUUUAUCGGAGAAGGAUCAGCCCGCGUUAGAUUAGAUAGUUGA